rnacentral:rRNA from 1 species
UUGGAGGGCAAGUCUGGUGCCCGCAGUCGCGGUAAUUCCAGCUCCAAUAGCGUAUAUUAAAGUUGUUGCAGUUAAAAAGCUCGUAGUUGAAUUUCGGGAUCAAUUUAUUGGUCGUGCCAACGGUACGCACUGGUACAAUUGGUUUCUCCCUUCUGACGAAGCAUGAUGUCAUUAAUUUGAUGUCGUGGGGAAUCAGGACUGUUACUUUGAAAAAAUUAGAGUGUUUAAAGCAGGCUUUGGCUUGAAUACAUUAGCAUGGAAUAAUGAAAUAGGACGUUUGAUCUUAUUUCGUUGGUUUCUAAGAUCGACGUAAUGAUUAAUAGGGAUAGUUGGGGGCAUUAGUAUUCAAUUGUCAGAGGUGAAAUUCUUGGAUUUAUUGAAGACUAACUACUGCGAAAGCAUUUGCCAAGGAUGUUUUCAUUAAUCAAGAACGAAAGUUAGGGGAUCGAAGACGAUCAGAUACCGUCGUAGUCUUAACCAUAAACUAUGCCGACUAGGGAUCGGAUGAUGUUAAUUUUUUAAUGACUCAUUCGGCGCCUUACGGGAAAC